rnacentral:rRNA from 1 species
UUAGAGUUUGAUCCUGGCUCAGAACGAACGCUGGCGGCGUGGAUAAGACAUGCAAGUCGAACGAGAGAAUUGCUAGCUUGCUAAUAAUUCUCUAGUGGCGCACGGGUGAGUAACACGUGAGUAACCUGCCCCCGAGAGCGGGAUAGCCCUGGGAAACUGGGAUUAAUACCGCAUAGUAUCGAAAGAUUAAAGCAGCAAUGCGCUUGGGGUUGGGCUCGCGGCCUAUUAGUUAGUUGGUGAGGUAACGGCUCACCAAGGCGAUGACGGGUAGCCGGUCUGAGAGGAUGUCCGGCCACACUGGAACUGAGACACGGUCCAGACACCUACGGGUGGCAGCAGUCGAGAAUCAUUCACAAUGGGGGAAACCCUGAUGGUGUGACGCCGCGUGGGGGAAUGAAGGUCUUCGGAUUGUAAACCCCUGUCAUGUGGGAGCAAAUUAAAAAGAUAGUACCACAAGAGGAAGAGACGGCUAACUCUGUGCCAGCAGCCGCGGUAAUACAGAGGUCUCAAGCGUUGUUCGGAAUCACUGGGCGUAAAGCGUGCGUAGGCUGUUUCGUAAGUCGUGUGUGAAAGGCGCGGGCUCAACCCGCGGACGGCACAUGAUACUGCGAGACUAGAGUAAUGGAGGGGGAACCGGAAUUCUCGGUGUAGCAGUGAAAUGCGUAGAUAUCGAGAGGAACACUCGUGGCGAAGGCGGGUUCCUGGACAUUAACUGACGCUGAGGCACGAAGGCCAGGGGAGCGAAAGGGAUUAGAUACCCCUGUAGUCCUGGCAGUAAACGGUGCACGCUUGGUGUGCGGGGAAUCGACCCCCUGCGUGCCGGAGCUAACGCGUUAAGCGUGCCGCCUGGGGAGUACGGUCGCAAGAUUAAAACUCAAAGAAAUUGACGGGGACCCGCACAAGCGGUGGAGUAUGUGGCUUAAUUCGAUGCAACGCGAAGAACCUUACCUGGGCUUGACAUGUAAUGAACAACAUGUGAAAGCAUGCGACUCUUCGGAGGCGUUACACAGGUGCUGCAUGGCCGUCGUCAGCUCGUGUCGUGAGAUGUUUGGUUAAGUCCAGCAACGAGCGCAACCCCUGUUGCCAGUUACCAGCACGUGAAGGUGGGGACUCUGGCGAGACUGCCCAGAUCAACUGGGAGGAAGGUGGGGACGACGUCAGGUCAGUAUGGCCCUUAUGCCCAGGGCUGCACACGUACUACAAUGCCCAGUACAGAGGGGGCCGAAGCCGCGAGGCGGAGGAAAUCCUGAAAACUGGGCCCAGUUCGGACUGUAGGCUGCAACCCGCCUACACGAAGCCGGAAUCGCUAGUAAUGGCGCAUCAGCUACGGCGCCGUGAAUACGUUCCCGGGUCUUGUACACACCGCCCGUCA